AACGAACGCCGGCGGCAGGCCUAACACAUGCAAGUCGAGCGCGCAGCAAUGCGAGCGGCAGACGGGUGAGUAACGCGUGGGAACCUUCCUAUUGGUGCGGAAUAGCUCAGGGAAACUUGGGGUAAUACCGCAUAAGCCCGAAAGGGGAAAGAUUUAUCGCCGAUAGAUGGGCCCGCGUUGGAUUAGCUAGUUGGUGAGGUAACGGCUCACAAAGGCGACGAUCCAUAGCUGGUUUGAGAGAAUGACCAGCCACACUGGGACCGAGACACGGCCCAGACUCCUACGGGAGGCAGCAGUGGGGAAUCUUGGACAAUGGGCGCAAGCCUGAUCCAGCCAUGCCGCGUGAGUGAUGAAGGCCGUCGGGUUGUAAAGCUCUUUUGCCGGGGACGAUAAUGACGGUACCCGGAGAAUAAGUCCCGGCUAACUUCGUGCCAGCCGCCGCGGUAA
rnacentral:rRNA from 1 species